AGCAUUAAAAAAAAUCCUUGAGUCCACGUUGAUAUAAAUAAAUGACUAAAUAAGAUCUUCCAAUAAUUUAUGUAAAUCCUCUGUCUUAAAGAGAAGGGCUGUAAGUCCCACCUCCUUAAGUGUGGGCCAUACGUAGCAACUUCCUUCCAAAGAGCACAGAACAGAAGGGUUGGCGGGGGAGGAGGUCACUUUACAGCGGAGAAACCUGACUAACGCUAUCUCAGCCGGGUGAUCAAGGUAACAGCAGCAGUUAUAAGCCAUGUUGAUAGUCUGUACCCUUGGCAGGAUGUGAUGAAAAUGGCAUUCGGCCUCUGUGGUCUUGCUCCCACCAACACUUAACUCCAGUCUAAUGGGAAACACAUUAGACAAAUGUCAAUGAGCGACAUGCUACAAAAUACCUGUCCAAUAUUCCUCACAACUGUCCAGCUUACGAAAAAGAAAGUAAUUCUGAGAAUCUGUCACAGCCAAGAAGAACCUAAGGAUAUGGAUGACAAGAAUGUCAUGUUGUGUCUGGGAUGGAUUCCAGAACAGAAAAAGGACAACAGCGAGGCAAGCUUGGCCUGAAGUCUCUCUCUUUCUGGCUCUUACUGUACUUCCUUGAAAGUCUGCAAGAACUGGUAACACUGUGUAUAACUAUCCUUAACGCACAUUAAAUUUAGAAUAUUUUAAUUGGAUGAACAAAAGCAGCAAACUGUGUCUAAUUUCCCACAAUUGCAAAAUAUCCUUCACUGACAUGAAAUACAACAGAUGUUUAACUCUUUUAAUACAUUUUCUGUAUUUUGUAGCUCUUGUGUACCCAUACAUUUUCAAACCCUUUUUGUAGCAAAAUUCCUUAUAGAUGAGAGAGGAAAUACAAUUUUCACUUCA